rnacentral:tRNA from 1 species
GCCACGUUAGCUCAGUUGGUAGAGCAAGGGACUGAAAAUCCCUGUGUCCUUGGUUCGAUUCCGAGACGUGGCA